rnacentral:rRNA from 1 species
GACGAACGCUGGCGGCGUGCCUAAUACAUGCAAGUUGAGCGCUGAAGGUUGGUACUUGUACCGACUGGAUGAGCAGCGAACGGGUGAGUAACGCGUGGGGAAUCUGCCUUUGAGCGGGGGACAACAUUUGGAAACGAAUGCUAAUACCGCAUAACAACUUUAAACACAAGUUUUAAGUUUGAAAGAUGCAAUUGCAUCACUCAAAGAUGAUCCCGCGUUGUAUUAGCUAGUUGGUGAGGUAAAGGCUCACCAAGGCGAUGAUACAUAGCCGACCUGAGAGGUUGAUCGGCCACAUUGGGACUGAGACACGGCCCAAACUCCUACGGGAGGCAGCAGUAGGGAAUCUUCGGCAAUGGACGAAAGUCUGACCGAGCAACGCCGCGUGAGUGAAGAAGGUUUUCGGAUCGUAAAACUCUGUUGGUAGAGAAGAACGUUGGUGAGAGUGGAAAGCUCAUCAAGUGACGGUAACUACCCAGAAAGGGACGGCUAACUACGUGCCAGCCGCCGCGGUAA